UAGAAAACCGGAUUCGUUUUGGCCACCAAAAGCUACUGUACUGUACGGGCCACUAGCAGCGGGCAGCUGGAUGCUGGGUGGAAUGGAUUGUUUAGCUGGCCGGGGGAAGGGAAGGGAAGGGAGGGGGAACAACUCGAGAGCCCCGCGUGGUCGUCGGUUGCGGCAGAGAGGCGCGCAUGUGACGACGCGGCUUUUCAUCAGCCCCUCCGGAUUAUCAAAAUGCCAGCCGUGUCGGAGGCAGCGGGCAGCGGCGUGGCGUCUGGUCAGAAACCGGCACCCCGAAUCCCGAGCGCGUCGUCGACCUGCCGGAAAUGAGGACGGCCAACUCAUCAUCUGUUUCUGGGUUCUGUCUGAAAAUCCUCGCGAAAACUUUUUAUGGAAGAGAAUUCUUCAGGUUCAUUCAGGCAUAGCUGGCUGCUUUGGAAACGAUUUUAAUCAUGUUUCACACUUUCACCAACUCUUCACUUGCAGCCGGUUUGGUUUCGGUUUUUUUGGAAGGAUAUACUCAGACUAAUCAUACCUGCUGGAUGCUGAAGCUCAACAGCUGGUUGCCUGGUUCCAUUGCAUGUUGCCAAGAAUAUGAUGAAGAUGCUAGUGGUGUUGUUUAGUGGCAUCCUGGCAAGCAAGUAGCUGGCAUCUUAUUCCAGUCUUUUUUCUCUCAACCUUUUCU
rnacentral:lncRNA from 1 species